rnacentral:rRNA from 1 species
AUUGAACGCUGGCGGCAGGCUUAACACAUGCAAGUCGAGCGAGCGGCGGACGGGUGAGUAAUGUCUGGGAAACUGCCUGAUGGAGGGGGAUAACUACUGGAAACGGUAGCUAAUACCGCAUACCAUCAGAUGUGCCCAGAGGGGAUUAGCUUGUAGGUGGGGGAAGGGCUCACCAAGGCGCCGCUCCCUAGCUGGUCUGAGAGGAUGACCAGCCACACGGGAACUGAGACCCGGUCCAGACUCCUACGGGAGGCAGCAGUGGGGAAUAUUGCACAAUGGGCGCAAGCCUGAUGCAGCCAGGCCGCGUGUAUGAAGAAGGCCUUCGGGUUGUAAAGCACUUGCAGCGAGGAGGCGUUACUCGCAGAAGAAGCACCGGCUAACUCCGUGCCAGCAGCCGCGGUAAUAC